AUCUGGGGCGGGUUGAGUCUUAAAAGGCUGUGAAUCAUCAUCCCCUCUCCUUUGCAUUUUCCCAAUGAAAAUUUCCCUCAAAGAAAUUCUAGUAGCGGAAAUGAUUACAUAAUUGCAGCCCUGUUCUAUUGUUGCACUGUUUUACAGCUGCUCUUCCUAUUUAUUACCCCUCCAUACCUGUUUAUGUUCCAAUACGAAAGGGUGCUCAAUAAAAAUGUUGCUGAAGAAAGGUUACUUCCAGGGAGCAAGAGCAGUGCAGUGUGCAGAUUGGCCCUUGGAUGUCCCCACCUCUGAAGGAGUGAUGGGUGUCUCAGUACUGGCCGGCUCAGGGGAGGACUCCACUAAUUAGCUCACCCUUCGGUCCCUGGAGAGGACUAGCCGUGGCUUUGCUCCUUGACUCCUCUCUACCCUGUUCCCCCCGCAGGCUCGGAUUGCUAACUGUGGAUGGCCAAGUCAAAUGUCUAUUAAAAAAAUCCUGCUUCCUGACAUUCCCCAGUGGCUGUGUGACAAAUCAAGGUUACCUUGAAAGCAAUGCAGAGGGGGAAACCCAUCCAUCUGUCAAGAUGUGAGUCACCAGUGUGAUGUCAUCUGAAUCUCAACUGAUUCCAUUAAUUUUGACUGUGAAAGAGGAAGUCUCUCUGAGAGCAUCUGGUAACAGUCUACAUGUUCCCUUUGAUUGGACCACCUUACGUCACAUGGUGACUGAUUGGCCUGGCCUUAGCCUUGGGUUCUACUUUUGGAACCAGGGGUGAACUCAACUUCCCUGGUGUCCUAUCUCCCCAAAUAAGAGGAUGGAAGCUUGUGGGAAAUUGGAACAUUUACAUCGAUCAGCAAAUGGAUGGUGGCGAUUCAGUCAACCCACACACACUAUACUAUGGACUUCUGAGAAUGAAACAACUUUAUUAAAUGUCUACUUAUGUA